CCACUCCCUCCCCGCGCGCGCUCGCCCUUCUCGGCAGCCGCGCGACCCCCGGAGCGCGCGCCCGCUCCGCCGCCCGCGGAACCCGAGUCGGCCACAGAGCUGCCGGGGGAGCACAGUAGGAUUCUUUGCCAAUGGCAGCAGUUGAUGUUUUUUGGCAAACUACCCAAACGCAAACUCAGUGUGCAGAAUGCCAGGCAAAGGCAAGUAAAAACAGUAAGAGCAAAAAUAAUGAAAAUAGCUUACUUAAGCAAUUAGUACUCAAGACCCGUAUUUGAUUUUAUGGUACUGAUGGGCUAAUGAGUUAGUCUGUUACUGUUUCGUGGAUGCUGACAAAAGUCCCAGAAUCCCUGGGUGGGAGACAACGGGACUGUUAUGACACAGGAAGUAACAUGAGCUUCAGCACGUUUGUGUCAAUUCCUCUUCCCCCCAAGUCUAUGGGAAUGACACCAAUGGCUCAGAUGAAUGCUGUGCAUUUGUUUGGUGGAUUUACACCACAGCUGAGAAACACUGAGCUUGGGGAACCUGCCAUUUUAUAGGGAAGCAGUGAGCAAACCUGUUCUUUGUGCUGGAGGGAGACAUUACUUCAUUCCUUAAAGUUGUUCAUUAUAAACACAACCCUGGGGAAUGACCCUGGUAAAGAGCAGUCAGAGUCUUGAAUUUUUGGCAUACCCAGGAAGAUGGGUAGAAGCAUGACAGACUCCUGAAGGCCUGUCUCUCAACAUUACGGUGUGUCAAACACUUCUAAGCGCUUUACAUCUAUAAUCUCAUUUAAUCUUCACAACCCUGUAAUGUGCCCUAUUUAUAGAUGAAUAAACAGGCAGAGAGAGGCCACAAAGCUAAUGAACAAUCCAGGAGAGGGGCACCUGGGUGGCUCAGUCAGUUGGGUGUUGACUCUUGAUUUCAGCUCAGGUCAUGAUCUCAUGGUUGGUGGGAUCAAGCCCCACGUCAGGCUCCAUGCUGAUAUGUGGAACCUGCUUGAGAUUCUCUUUCUCCCCCCUCCCCACCCUUCUCCCACUCGUUGUCUCUCUCUCUCAAAAA